AGCUCCAAUAGCGUAUAUUAAAGUUGUUGCGGUUAAAACGCUCGUAGUUGAAUUUUAGUAACGGUUGACGGGUCGCGUCGUAAGACGUGCACUCUAUGCCGUUACUCAUUUCUUCUGGGGAUCCAUUUCUGUUCUUUAUUGAGUGGGGAUGGGGAUCCAGGACGUUUACUUUGAAAAAAUUAGAGUGUUUAAAGCAUGCCCUUUGUGCAUGAAUAUGUCAGCAUGGAAUAAUAGAAUAGGACUUUGGUCUUAUUUUGUUGGUUUAAGAGACCAGAGUAAUGAUUAAAAGAAACAGAUGGGGGCACUGGUAUUUCAUUGUCAGAGGUGAAAUUCUUGGAUUUAUGAAAGACCAACUUCUGCGAAAGCAUUUGUCCAGGAUGUUUUCA
rnacentral:rRNA from 1 species